rnacentral:rRNA from 1 species
CCCUUAGAUGUCCUGGGCCGCACGCGCGCUACACUGACAUGUUCAACAAGCCUCCUAGUUCGACAGGAUUUGGGAAAUCUUUGAACGCAUGUCGUGAUAGGGAUAGAUCAUUGCAAUUAUUGAUCUUGAACGAGGAAUUCCUAGUAAACGCGAGUCAUCAGCUCGCAUUGAUUACGUCCCUGCCCUUUGUACACACCGCCCGUCGCACCUACCGAUUGAAUGUUUCGGUGAAGAUUCCGGAUAGGACUUUUUUGAUUUAUUUCAAUUUUGUCUUAAAAGGUAUCUAAACCUCAACAUUUAGAGGAAGGUGAAGUCGUAACA